rnacentral:rRNA from 1 species
GACGAACGCUGGCGGCGUGCUUAACACAUGCAAGUCGAACGGAAAGGCCCUUCGGGGUACUCGAGUGGCGAACGGGUGAGUAACACGUGGGUGAUCUGCCCUGCACUUUGGGAUAAGCCUGGGAAACUGGGUCUAAUACCGAAUACACCUCAUUGACUGCAUGGUUGGUGGGGGAAAGCUUUUGCGGUGUGGGAUGGGCCCGCGGCCUAUCAGCUUGUUGGUGAGGUUACGGCUCACCAAGGCGACGACGGGUAGCCGGCCUGAGAGGGUGACCGGCCACACUGGGACUGAGAUACGGCCCAGACUCCUACGGGAGGCUG